rnacentral:rRNA from 1 species
GACGAACCGUACGAACGUUAUUCGGAAUCACUGGGCUUAAAGGGUGCGUAGGCGGCGCGACAAGUUGGGUGUGAAAUCCCUCGGCUCAACCGAGGAACUGCGCCCAAAACUGUCGUGCUCGAGGGAGACAGAGGUGAGCGGAACUUAGGGUGGAGCGGUGAAAUGCGUUGAUAUCCUAAGGAACACCGGUGGCGAAAGCGGCUCAUUGGGUCUCUUCUGACGCUGAGGCACGAAAGCUAGGGUAGCGAACGGG